rnacentral:tRNA from 1 species
GCUUUUGUAGCUCUGUUGGUUAGAACACUCGUUUAGUAAGUGAGAAGCCUUGAGUUCGACUCGUAUUAAGAGCA